UACAGAGGGUGCGAGCGUUGUCCGGAAUCACUGGGCGUAAAGGGCGCGUAGGUGGCGCUGCAAGUCGGUGGUGAAAGCUCGUCGCUUAACGGCGAGUCGGCCAUCGAAACUGCAGGGCUCGAGCACUGUAGGGGCUCAUGGAAUUCCGGGUGUAGCGGUGGAAUGCGUAGAGAUCCGGAAGAACACCAGUGGCGAAGGCGGUGAGCUGGGCAGUUGCUGACACUGAGGCGCGACAGCGUGGGGAGCAAACAGG
rnacentral:rRNA from 1 species